GGAGGGAUGCAGCACCCAGCAGUGAACAGGGCACCUGGGGAUGGCUCCGGCUUACCCAGGCGCAGGCGGCACUCGGUGCCAGUGGCCUGAAGCGGGUGUGUGGCCAUGCAGAUGUAAUCCUUGCCCCCCCAGCCUGCUGCUGGUGCUCAGCACCACAACGGUGGUGGAUGGUGCGGGGUCACCCAGCGCCUGUCCUGCACCAUCCCACCAGCGCAGGGUGAUGGGGGGUGUCCCCCCCUCCCAUUGGCACCGCAGCAUCACGAACUCAUCCCCCUUGGUGGCUGCCGCCGCGCAGGAGGGGCCACCAGCUGGGAUCCCUGCGGAAGGAAGAGGUGUUGGGAUGGGGACUCCAAUCUGUGCCCCCCUUAAAGAGAUCACCUCCAAAGCAUGGGGGCUCUGGGCUGUGGAGCAGGAGGUCCCAGCAUCACAGGGCUCCCCAUGGCUUUGUGAUGCUGGGGGGGCACAGGAAGGGUCUGUGGGGCACUCACACAGGGUGGUCCCGCAGGCAGCCCCAUGCGGCAGUGCAGGGUGCGAGGCCAGGCAGGAGAAGGCGCUGCCAUUCCUGGUGGCCGACCCCGGUUGGAUGCUGGUGGCCAUGGAAAAGCUGCUCCCCAUCACCCCCUGCUCUUCCUCCUCCUCCUCCUCGGGGCCCACCCAGCGCAGCCGUGCCGGGGGGAACCCCCCCAGCCAGCGGCAUCGCAGUGCCACGUCCUGCAUGUCCCCGGUGGCCAGUGCAGAGCAGCUUGGGCUCCCGGCUGGUGGAUCUGCAGGAGACCACCAGUGCUUGGGGGGGGGGGUCCACAUCAUGUCCCCCCUACCCCAAAUCACCCCUUGCACCCACAUCCUCACCGGGGAAGCCGCGUUGGUCCAUCUCACCCCUCUGGGGGUUACUUACAGUAGACGGUGAGGACGAUGGUGGCCUGGGUGCGGGUUUGGAGAUGGGUGUUCUCAGCCAGGCAGGUGUAGGUGCCAGCCUGGCUGCGGGUGAUGGCAGCGAGGACGUAGGUCUGCCCAACGUGGACCUGGGAGCCGUUGUGGAGCCAGAUGUAGUGACUGGGAGGGUUGGACGGAGCCAGGCAGCUCAGCACCACAUCCUCACGCUCGCCUGCAGAGAAGCUGCCCUGCUCCGGGCUGAAGGGCUCCACGCUGAUGGCCG
rnacentral:lncRNA from 14 species